UACGUAGGGUGCAAGCGUUAAUCGGAAUUACUGGGCGUAAAGCGUGCGCAGGCGGUCAUGCAAGACAGAUGUGAAAUCCCCGGGCUCAACCUGGGAACUGCAUUUGUGACUGCAUGGCUGGAGUGCGGCAGAGGGGGAUGGAAUCCACGUGUAGCAGUGAAAUGCGUAGAGAUGUGGAGGAACACCGAUGGCGAAGGCAGCCUCCUGGGCCAGCACUGACGCUCAUGCACGAAAGCGUGGGGAGCAAACAGG
rnacentral:rRNA from 1 species